AAUGAACGCUGGCGGCAGGCCUAACACAUGCAAGUCGAACGGGCACUUCGGUGCUAGUGGCGGACGGGUGAGUAACGCGUGGGAACGUGCCCCUUGGUACGGAAUAGCCCCGGGAAACUGGGAGUAAUACCGUAUGUGGUCGAGAGACGAAAGAUUUAUCGCCAAGGGAUCGGCCCGCGUUGGAUUAGGUAGUUGGUGGGGUAAUGGCCUACCAAGCCGACGAUCCAUAGCUGGUUUGAGAGGAUGAUCAGCCACACUGGGACUGAGACACGGCCCAGACUCCUACGGGAGGCAGCAGUGGGGAAUCUUAGACAAUGGGGGAAACCCUGAUCUAGCCAUGCCGCGUGAUCGAUGAAGGCCUUAGGGUUGUAAAGAUCUUUCAGGUGGGAAGAUAAUGACUGUACCACCAGAAGAAGCCCCGGCUAACUCCGUGCCAGCAGCCGCGGUAACAC
rnacentral:rRNA from 1 species